rnacentral:lncRNA from 1 species
UAGAGAGAGGGCGCCCUUGCUACCAGGGUCCACAGGCUCAGUCUCAGCCUGGUUCCUGUUUGUGGUGCCCCUUUCUCAGGCCUGUGGGGAUGUCAGGAGCUUAGGACAGCGCCGGGCUCAAGAGAUGUGGCUACCUUCCCUCCUGCUUUCGGUACUCAGCGCAGGCAGGGUUCAGUGCAGCAAGUAACAGCUGUGGCUUACUGGAUUGUCUGCAACCAUUGGCGACUGAGAGAUCCCUGCAGCCCUCCCAGACCCUCGAUCUGACUGGAGCCAGGCCCACGUGGGGAAAGGGUUAAACGUUGGCAGUGACUUCACCCCUGCAUUGGAGCAGGCGGAGGCAGAGUAGGAACCUGCUGGAAGCUGUUCUGAACCAGAGAAGGAUGAAAAUAGCUGCCAAAGAUGUUGCCAUAGCAACUGCUUUCCUUCCUGACCUCCUUGGAAGUGAACUCCCUCAUUUUCCAGAGUAGUCAAGGAAUUUCUGUGCCUCUACCCAUGGCUUUGGUUACCAACUCAUCCCUGGGGGCCUUGGUUUCUUUCUGUGAAAUGGAAUAUUCAUUCCAGCACUCACCACCUUCUAGGCUGGAGUAAGGCUCCAACUUUGCAAAUGCUGUUAGUAAACUGUAGAGCUCC